CACAUGCAAGUCGAGGGGCAGCGCAGUGUAGCAAUACAUGGGCGGCGACCGGCGCGACGGGUGCGUAACGCGUAUCCCAACCUUCCCGUUACUCAGGGAUAGCCUUCCGAAAGGGAGAUUAAUACCUGAUGGUGUUCAAAUUCCGCAUGUUAUUUGAACUAAAGAUUUAUCGGUUAUGGAUGGGGAUGCGUAAGAUUAGGUAGUAGGCGGGGUAACGGCCCACCUAGCCGACGAUCUUUAGGGGUUCUGAGAGGAAGGUCCCCCACACUGGUACUGAGACACGGACCAGACUCCUACGGGAGGCAGCAGUGAGGAAUAUUGGUCAAUGGGCGGAAGCCUGAACCAGCCAAGUAGCGUGAAGGAUUACAGCCCUACGGGUUUUAAACUUCUUUUAUAUGAGAGUAAUGUGCACUACGUGUAGUGUAUUGCAAGUAUCAUAUGAAUAAGCAUCGGCUAACUCCGUG
rnacentral:rRNA from 1 species